GUACUAGGCCACGUGGCAAGGGCCUGGUUGGGGACCUCCAGGGGUUGAGAGCAUCCUCUGGACAACAUGGAAAAAGAAAAUGAAAAUGGUGACCUCAGCCCUAUAGCUAGAAGGAAUUGAAUCCUGUCAACAACGAUACUCAUCACUCACUGCAGAUGUUACUUUAAGACAUUCUGGAGCAGCGUCAUGUGCAGGUGCGUAGUGCCUCCGCCCAUCUCUCUCUUGCUCCUGGUCUCAUCGUGACGGGCCUGGUCCUGCCUCACUUUAUGCCACGACUAAGAGCUCCCUGAGGCCUCUCCAGAAGCAGAUAUCACUAUGCUUCCUACACAGCCUGCAGAACCGAACAAUAAGGAAGUGAGUGCUUUUGUAAUUCCUGAACAACUGUGUCUUACACUUACUAAGGGAUUCAUGGGCAAUAUGACUGAAUAGGAACAGCUCCAGUCUGAAGCUCCCAGUGAGACCAACAUAGAAGUUCUCUUGCCUGCCACCAUGUAAGAUAUGCUUUUACUCUUCCGCCUUCCACCGUGACUGUGAGGCCUCCCCAGCCAUGUGAAACUGCCUUUGAGCUUAUACUGAAUUAUACCACCAGCUUUCCUAGGUCUUGAAGCUUACAGACAGCAGAUCUUGGGACUUCUCAGGCACCAUAAUCAAUCAUAGAUAAAUGAUCCAAUGAUUCGGAACUUGAAAAGUGGUAGCUUUAUGAAUUCUCCUUAAGAAGAAACCUGUGCCCUGAUCUUGCCUACUCACCCAAAGGCACUGUGAGAUAGCAUCAAAGGAACAGCUAGUAAGAGACACAGAGCCAGAAAUCAGGGAAGUAAAAUACACUUGACAUCUACGUUCGGAAAGAAAUUUUAGGAGGCAGAAGCAAAUGGAUCAGAAGCUGCUUAUAUUUUUGCAAGAUUACCAAAGAAACCAUUGGUGGAGAAAGUUCUGUGACCAACUUGUCUGAGUCUAGUAAGAUUGAACGCUCACACACAAGUUUCAUGAAGUGGGUUUGAUACUUACAGAUAAGCAGCAAGGACCAACAGAAGCUGAUGAUCUAUGGUGAACUUUUUCCCAAGGCUCCGGAAAGCUGCCUAAAGUAGAUGGAGUCUUCUCUGUGUGUGCCCCACUGGUCCUGCAGUUGAAGGAUCCGGUAAAGCAGCCUGCCCUUGGUUUUAUACUCCAGAGGAACGUGAUUCGCUGGACUAAAGCAUUGAAGUGCAUCCUGUUUCCGGGGGGCACUGGAACAGAGCCUGGUCUGUUCUAGCCAGUCCCUUUCUAUCUCAGGAUAACAUUCUACAGUUAUUCUUGAGAACUAUAAUCAAAUAAGCAGGGAGAACUGGAGGCUCAUUGUGGAACCCUCAAGGAGCAUGGGGUCGUCUUCAUCCCUCAGUUUAUAAAUGGCCAAGGAGAGUAAUGCAACAAAAACUUCUCAGAGUUAAAAGCCAGAGUUCCUAAAGAACCGUGGACAAAGGGUUCUGUCUAGUGGGCAGAAUUCAUCCAGCGAAGGUCUCCUAACUACAGAGGGUCACAUCUGGAUCUGAUGGCACCUACAGAACUUGGACUCUGAGCGACAAUCAGUGACCAGGAAAUUUGGAACCCAGGUUUUCCCAACCUACAUCUACAAAAUGGAAUGGGUCUGAUUCGCAAGUUUUCAGAGAAAGAAGCCAACCUUAAUCAGACUGUGAUAUGAUGAGGAAAUAAAACUUGCUGUGCUAAUCAA
rnacentral:lncRNA from 1 species